rnacentral:piRNA from 1 species
CCAUUUCUUGACCUUGAGGGGCA